CAUCAUGUGGCAAAAAGAACAUUAGAAGGAUAUUCAGGAACCCUGAGAUUUAAUCCUAGUUGUCAACAUAUAACAUAAUGAUAUAUCACAAUUAUUGGUUUCUUCAUUUAUAGAAUAGGAAACUGGGCUUGACACAUCAAAAACCUUGCCCAUUUUGAAAUACUAUGAGUUCUUACUCCUGUCAAAACUGUGUAUAUCACAAAUUAAAUAUUUUUUUAAAGUAUAGAUUUUUUUAACCUUGACCAAGUUAGAGCUGCUGAAAUGUUUUAAUAUAAAACACAAAUGAAGCCAUCUUGAGUUUCCGAGUCAUUUGUAAGGAUAAGAAUGGAAAAAUAACUGUACAAAACAUCCUCAAGGAGCUGUUUUUCUCCUUGUGAAAGAAGACAGGAUAGAAUACGUUUUCCUAAUUAUUUCUAAUAAUACAGAAUGUUUUCUUAUUAUUUCUAAUGUGGCAUGACAAUAUUGCUGAAAGAUUUAAAAAAGGCAUUGUCAAGAUAUUUCUCAUUUAUUAUCUAAAAACAUAAUUUUCCUCUCUUCCCUGUCCUUUAUUGUGAAGUAUAAAAGUGAAACCUGAAUCUUGUCUAAUAACUGUCAGUCUUCACUUUACGAUGCUGUUCUCUGAAGGCUGGAUGACUAGAUGGAUUUGGGAGCAGGAAGAAAGCAUGUGCCAAAUUGUUUUUAACCUUGCAUAUCCUCAUGGUUGUCUCUCUUAGUGUACUUUUGGGAGAAAAACUUAAAGGGAAAGCAGAGAUGAUACGAAAGACUCCCAACCUAGAGCCGCAGAGCCUGGGAUGUCCUCAAGCAGGCUGGGCCUGACCUGGGGCACCUUAUUUGAAAGACAGUUCUUCUCCAAAUGGCUAUUACCUUCCUCCUAAGAAAAACAAAACAGUCUGGGCAUGUUCUUCACUUAACAACUGUAGAAGCACUUCCCUAAUCCAGGUAAGUCCCUUUCAAAAUACUGCCUGAAUCAUAUCUUUCAAUGUGCUAUCAACCAAAGCAAAUCAUGUGCUAAGUAAGGCCAAACAGCAGAGAAUUCUCUCACCCACAUUGGAAGAGCACAACAAAAAGAAGG
rnacentral:lncRNA from 1 species